rnacentral:lncRNA from 10 species
GCCAGGCAUGGCAGCUGGCGCCUGUAAUCCCAACUACUUGAGAGGCUGAGGCAGGAGAAUUGCUUGAACCCAGGAGGUGGAGGUUGCAGUGAGUUGAGUAGCAGAGCAAGACUCUGUCUCUCUGUCUCUCUCUCUCUCUGUCACACACACACACACACACACACACACACACACACACACGCACACACAGAGAAACAUCCCAGUGUGGUUAAACCUCUGGGCCUCUUCCUGCCUCUGAUUUUCAUCAAUGAGAAUGGGAGAAUAUUAACUUCUCUCACAGGAUACAGAGUAUGUUAAGGAGUCGUAAUUCAUCAAUGUUGUAUUGGUUUUUCUCUUUCUUUCUUUCUUUCUUUUUUUUUUUAUCCUUUGUUGGUGCUUUGCUGUCUGUGUGGAGGACACAGAGAGUCAUAAACCACGAUCUCCUCUCUUCCAGAGUUCCUUCUUGGCGUUAGAGUCAUCGGCCGGCUGUGUUGUAGCCAAUGUGCUGAGCUUUGCGGCUCCUGGAGCUAGCUCCCUUCCUCUCCGCUGCCUCCAUGCGUGGAGGUCACUUGCUGGAACGCAGAUGUGUGCAAUGCCCAGAGAUCCAAGUAAAAUAUCUCAACCGGUUCUUGUGGUUGUGGAAACACCUUUGGCUCCCAGAUGGUUGACACUGACAAACAGAAGUCCCUGCUCCGUCUGACAUCACGUGGCUCAGCUGCCUUCUCAAAAAGUGAGCUUCCUGUGUGGAUAAGGCAGCCCCAUAGCCAGCCUGGCAACAGACAGCUUCAUGAGAAGGGAAAAGAUGAAGACGGAUUCCCGGGCGAGGCCGACAGUGAGGCCGACAGUGGAUCCGCCAUUCCUGCCUGAGCCUCUUCCACAGCUGUCCUUUUUAGAGGUCACCAGACCUUCCUCACACAGACCUCAUGGUGCCCGCACCUGGACUCAUUAGAAGGUUCUGUUGCCUUAGCUUAGUAAAUUUUCAUGGAGAGCUUUAAGUUUUUCUUUUUGCAUGUUAUCCUCAUGGUUGUACUCUCCAGGGGGCUUGUUCCUUCGGUAAUUAUCUUUAAUGACGGUAUUUCCAUAUUGACGCGAGGUGGGUGGGGUGUUGAAGAGAGAGGGAGACUCGAGACGGUGCAUUGACUCUGGAUUACAUUAGAGGGGUUAGAUGGAUGAGUGUUAGUUACAUCCCAAUCAGAACAUUUGCACCACUAGGUUUCACCAAAUGCCAAUCAUACUGGACUGAGCUCCUCUGCUCCUCUCCCUGAAACAUUAACAAAAAGUCAUUAACAAAAAGCCUUCCUGUUCUGAAGGCAAAUAUCUAUCUAUCUAUCUCAUCAGUCUUAGGGCUGGAAGAGAUGCAGCUCUGGGCUGGCUCUGAUGCGGACUUGUCACAAAGGCUUGGUCCUGCCCUCAUAGGUAGCGAGAGGGGUCGAGGGCCUUUAAGAAGCUUCCCGAGAUCUUCUGAAUCCUCAGCAAUCUCCUGCCCUGGCAUUCAAGGCCUGCCUGUCUAGGAUCCUGUCUCUGCAGCUCUGCCCACGUGACCGUAUCCUUGGAAGAAAAAAAAAAUGGGGAUGCACAAAGUGACCAGCACAGGGUAUUCGUGAUGACCGGGGAACAGAGAUUGAGAAAGCAAGAGCCUUCCUGGCAAAUCUGGGUUCAGACGCGGCAGAGACAGCUGUUUCCAGCCACUGCUAUGAACCCAUCUAAGUGAAAUUGUGAGGACUAAGGAGAGAGGCACCCAUGACUGCCUUAAUCCACUCCUACCCAUCGUCUCUUCACCCAUCCACCCAUCCUUGCUGCAGACCUUUACUGGGCACCUGUGCCAGGAGACCAUCACUGCCCAUCAGAAGCUCAUACAGGGAGAAGCAGUGGCCACAGCAGAAGGCGUCCCGGGUCCUAGAGAGCACCUGGAGAACAAGGGAGAGCUGCAGAAACCGCCCUGUCUGCAUGUGUGCCCUCAUGUUCUUGGGUGCAUGUCUGUGUUUGUGUGUGUGUUUGCUUAUGUGCAUGUGCAGUGUGUGUGUGUUCGAGACAGAGCGAGACUGAGAGUGCAAGUGGGUGUAAGCACACACACCCACCCGUCAGCCCUGCCUGUCUGCUCAGAGUUUUGCCUGUCACCCGGCCACGCCCUGUGACCCCCCUCCUCGGCUGGGUGCAGCCAGGACACCUGUUGCCAGCUGCGAGCACCUGCCUGGUUGCUGCGCCCGUGUCCUGUGCAUGUUCCAAGCCAGCCCCCUGGGGUAAUCCAGGCCAUGACUCAGGAACGUCAUGUUGGGACACCCGAGACCCCCAGCCCCUGCCCUAGGGGUCAGGGCAGCAGGUCCCAUCUCCCUUAGCUGGGCUGGGCCCAGGCAGCCUGUAUCACUGUUUGCUCCAGAGGCUGGGUGCGUCCUGCUUGGGGGCUGUGUGAGGCCCGCUUGUUUUCACCCACAGAUUCCCAGGGUUCUCAAGGCAGAGGAAAGCGACAAUUAGGGCAACACCCAUGUUGGUUGGAUCAGAGUGAAUCCCAGGCCUGCUUGGGAGGCUUUAGGCACUCAGCUCGGCCAUCUCUGAGGGUAAGGGCAUGUCAGCCACUCUGCUGGGGCAUCUCUGUGCUCAGCACCAUGUGGGCUCAUCACAGACACAAGAGUGCGUCCUCUCAGAGGGAAUGGUCUGGCAGGUUUUGCCUGUUUUCCUGCUCACAGGUUGAAUUUCUUGGCCAGCAUCCCAUAGCCAGGCCAGAGCGGAGCAGGGCUGCCUGCUGCACCCAGUGGCUUCUUGUCAAUCUCGGCCUCUCGUUCCCUGCCUGGGAGAGGGUCUCAGUGUGAAGGGCAGAGGGGUCUUCUGGAACCAGCCAGUGCUGUGUCGGAGAGAAAGACCAGGAGGAAAUUGGAGGGGUACAGGCCUGAAACUCUCCCGCUGCCUUGCCAGGCACCCAAACCUGCUUGACCUGAGUGUCUUUCCGGCGGCGGGUGGGGGGGAGGGGGGUGGGGCGUGCUGCAUCGCUUACUUUGCCUGUGUCUUAGGGGAGCCUACCCAUUGCCCUCCAGCACCGGCGAACAAAGACCCCCACGGUGGCCAGGCCUGUGCGGGGUGUAAACAGUGUCCCAGGGUGUCUUGGUGUCCUCACUACUACAUCCUCCACGUUCCAGAGGAGAAACUGAGGCCCGAGGACACCCAGAAUUUCCCAGGGUCACACCAAGGGGAAACAGGUGACGUUGAAGUGGACACAGGGUGAUGAGAGGGGUGCAGAAAAGGAGAUACCCUGGCAUGCCAAGCCUGGGGCUGGUUGUCCACAUCCAGGAAGGUCCCUGCAAGGUUGUGGCACCUUUUCAUGGCAAGCAGACGCAGCACCAUGAAUACCCACAGCCACUCCUAAGGGCCCCUUCAUGCGGUGGCUGUGCCCAGCACUGGGCACGCAGGAACCAAGGCCCAGAGAGUUCUGGGUGGGUGGGGAGAGCUAGAGCCUUCCUUCUGGGCUCCAGGGCUUUUCAGUAGCACCACUGGCUUUCUAGAAGGUUGCUGUGUGAUUGGAAACUUGUGCUUUGAGAUACGAUUAUCUGUGUGGGGAGGAGGUUGUACUGGAGUCAGCAGUGAGGGGUGGCAGCACUAGGCCAGAAAUGGAUGUGGGGUCCUCUUGCGUGGAGCUGCCACUCCCCCAGCCACUCUGUCCUUACAACCAAAACCCCAAAAGGGGGCUGAGCCGGCCCUUGUGAGUGAGAGUAGAGGAGAAGGAAGGGGCUGUGGGGGGAGAGAAGCACAUGGAGCUGGCCCACGUGGAGAGAGGGACCCUGGGUGGCAGGGUGGCGUUGGGGGAGAUUUGCCAUCAGAGUGACCUUAGUGACUGUGCCACCUCGACCCUGACCUGGGCAAUGCCUGUGAGGGCACUGGGGCCCAAGGUCCCAGAGGAGCAGGGGAACUAAGAUGUGGCUCUCACAGAACCUCAAAUGUAUCUCCAGACAUCCACAUAUCUGCACCUGACACACAUUUCUGGAACAGCUACUUGGCCAAGCACCACCAGUUUGUCUCUAUGCCCCUCUUGCUGGGGAGCCCAGUCUGGGGCAAAGGAAGGCACAGGGGCAUCCGCUCCAGGCUUUCCAGAAUAGGCAGAACACAGAAGGGGUGCCCGCCGGACACGCGGAGGGAGGAGAUGAGAAGAGUCCCCAGCGCCAGAAGGGGUGGAGACGGCCUUGCUGGGGCAGGGCCACAGGUCACCUGCUGCUGGGCUCUGGCUGCAGUGGGAAACAACCAAAGUUUUAAAAAGAGGGUGAACCUCUUAGGAAAGGAAAUGACAUUUAUAAAGAGGUAGGGACGUGGGGGCAGGGAUGAUGGCCUUGGUGGCCACAGCUCUUAAACCAGUGGGGAGGAGGCAGCCACGCCAGCAUGGUGAGAUCCAAGCCGCAGUGACGGGGCUGCACUCGCUCCAGGUAGAUUGCUCAAAUGGAAGCUUCUGGAUGGAUAACUAAGGCAGCACAACCCCCAGUCAUUGUCUGAGGGCCACCCUGGGGGAUGGAGCGAGUGCAGGCCAAGUGGAUGCAGGGCCCACGGCCAGUUUCCAGGGUGAGCUGCAGGGCAAGCCGUGGGAAGCCCCAGAGGCAGACGCUGAGGGAUGGGCACCCCAAGAGAGUCCAGGGAUCCGAGGCCACCUGGGUGGAGCCCGGACAGCGUCUACUCCAGGGAGCAAAGCUGAGGCAGGAGCCGAGGGCUUUCCAGUGGAUGUGGAGACUUCGGCUUACUCCCGCACUGACUUUAUCCCAUUUCUGAGCCUGUCGGCACGUGUAGAGCAUUUUGGGCUCAGUUUCUCUAGAGACUAACUGUGGCCUCCCAUGGGGUGGGGACAGGACAGUCUCCCGGCUGCAUGGAAUGGGAUGCCGACCGAGGGACGGGCUCUCUCUUAAAGACUUGCCACCACACCUCUCUUGUCCAUGCCAGGCUUCUGGGGUCCCCUCUGCUGCAGGUGCUUCGGGAGUCUCAGUGGUUCUUCAGGGCAAAGCUGGCCCUGACCGUGUGCUGCAUGCCCGGAGGUCUGACAUCGGUGCUGCUGAGUGGCCUGCCGUGGUUCUCUUGGUUUCCCAUCUUGCAAAGAGUCGGUGAACUCUCACCUGCUCUUGUCUCCUCGUCUCUGUGCCCUGUCCUCCUGCGGGGCUUGGGAAACCAUAGGUGAUAAACACAUGAGCCAAUCUGCCAUCUCCACUGGAGCCAAUGCUCUUUCUGUGUUCCCAUUGGCCUGCCUAGGACUGAGGUCAGCUCCAGGGUCAGAGGCAGGACUGGAGUUGGGUUCUAACUGAGGCAGAGACAGGGCUUGGGAGAAGAAAUCAAGGUGGAGGGCAGAGGCUCCAGGUCUUUGCCAGGCUCACCUCAGAAGUGGGUGUGUCAGGCUGUCCAGAGUGGAGUGCACAGAAGCUGGGGCUUUGACAAGGGCAGGGUGACCAGUCCAGGCUGGCCUCAAAGGCAAGAGCUUGACUGCAGGGCCAGCAGGCGUGUGAUGUGGGUGGGCCCUAAGGAGGCUGAGGGAGAGGAUAAACUGUGAAGAGCCAGCAGCCCAGAAGCUAAAUGCAGGGAGGCAGAGAAGACAGGAGAGAUGGAGGCUUGCAGGACCUGGUGGUUGGGGAGGGCCAGUGACCAGGUGUUUAGAAGCAGCACCUCCUGUGAUUGGGGCUGAGGGUGAACUCUGCUUUCAAGCAGAGGUGGUUUGUCGUGGGUCUUCCAUGAUGACACCAGGUCAAGGUAGGCUGUUAGCACUGAGGCCUGUGGGAAGGCGAGGCCCGUGGGCAGAGUCCCAGAAUGGGAGGAAAAUGAAGACAGCCACUGCAGGGACUUGGGUGUCAUUCUGAAGGAAGCCACUUAAUGGUAAAUGGAGCAACAACAUGGUAGCCUUUCCUCUGGGGGAGCCCAGAGACAAGGGGGGUCUGGGGAGGCAGGCAGGCAGGCAGGCAGGUCAGGCCAGGGAGGGGCUGUGCCCAGCAGGGAAUGGAUGGCACACUCCCUCCCAGAAAGGCUGCUGCAGGGCUCAGCACUCUGAACCUUAAAAGGUUUACCCAACAGAGCCUCCAGAUGCUCAGAGUCUUGCAGGCUCAGAACAAGAAUUGUCAACUUGCCAAGAUGAAUCUGUCUCUCGGGGGAGGACCCACACAGAACAAACGUUUGAAGCAGAAGUUUGCUUGGUAAACAUGGAAUCGGAACAUGGGAAUUGGGCCACUGGGAUAUUCAAUUGCGUCAGACCAUUGUAGCUGAUACUCCUGGACAGAGGGGCUUUGCCAACUGGACAGAUAUAUGAAGUGUUGCUGACCGAGCUCCUUGCUCUGUGUGGGAGGGAUCUUGCCAGCUCCAGCCUUGGUGGGUCUCCUUUUUCUGUUUCCAAGCUUAAAUAAGCACUUGGCUGUUCUGAUUAGCACUUUUAAAAGCUGUGUUAAUAAGUUCAAUUAAAAUAGAAGAAUCUCUCAUUCUGUCAUAUCGGGUUUUUUUAAUUGCAAACCAAUAAAACUUAAAUGAACUUGAGCAAAA